AGAGGACAGUGAUGUGCCACGGGGGAAAUGGCCAAGAGGCCAUGUUGUCACUGUAAAUCAGAAAAUUUAGGAGAGGCAGCUCUUCUGCGUGGGGACCUUGAAAUGCAAAGAAGCUCUGCUGGAGGCAAAAGAUUUCGAGGACCUGUGGUGCAGUGGACAGGACCCAGCCUGUACCCCGAGGACUCACCCCGAGAUAAACAGGAUAAAUCAUUCUCCUCUACAGUCCUCUCCUACCCUUCCUGGAGCCUCCGCUGUGCUUUGUGA
rnacentral:lncRNA from 1 species